rnacentral:pre_miRNA from 1 species
UCUUCAUUUUGCACACUCUCUCGCCUCUCUGACCGGUGAGAGAGCGCGUGAAAUGAAGAGA